GUUGAACGCUGGCGGCGUGCCUAAGACAUGCAAGUCGAGCGGGCCGCGGGGUUUUACUCCGUGGUCAGCGGCGGACGGGUGAGUAACGCGUGGGUUCCCUCCCCGGAAGCGGGGGACAACCCGGGGAAACUCGGGCUAAUCCCCCAUGUGGACCCGCCCCUUGGGGUGUGUCCAAAGGGCUUUGCCCGCUUCCGGAUGAGCUCGCGUCCCAUCAGCUAGUUGGUGGGGUAAUGGCCCACCAAUGCGACGACGGGUAGCCGGCCUGGUCGGGCGGGAGGCCACAGGAGCACUAGACCACGAGGCCCACCCGUACGGGAGGCUGCAGUUCGGAAUCUUCCGCCAUGGGCGCAAGCCUGACGGUGCGUCGCCGCUUGGAGGAAGAAGCCCUGCGGGGUGUAAACUCCUGAACCCGGGACGAAACCCCCGACGAGGGGACUGACGGUACCGGAGUAAUAGCGCCGGCUAACUCCGUG
rnacentral:rRNA from 1 species